CUCUUUCUCUUGUUGCUUUGUGAAGAAGGUAUGUGUUUCUCCUUCGCCUUCUGCCAUGCGUGUAAGUUUCCUGAGGCCUCCCCAACCAUGUGGAACUCUCCUACAGCAAAAGAAGUACUAAGAGGAAAGUUUAUAGUGAUAAGCACCUACAUAACAAAAAACUUCAAAUAAACAACCUAAUGAGGCAUCUUAAGGAAUGAGAAAAGAGCAAACUGAAUACAAAAUUAGUAGAAGAAAAGAAAUAAUAAAGUUCACAGCAAAAAUAAACGAAGAAAACAAUACAAAAGAUCAAUAAAAUAAAAAUUUGUUUUUUUGAACAGAUGAACAACAUUGACAAACCUUCAGGCAGAUUAAGAAAAAAAGAGCAAAAAACCCAAAUAAAUAAAAUUAGAGAUGAAAGAGGAGACAUUGCAGCUGAUUUCACAGAAAUUCAAAGUAUCAUUAGAGGCUGCUAUGAACAACUAUAUGCCAAUAAAUGGGAAAACCUGGAAGAAAUGGAUAAAUUUCUAGAAAAAUACAACCUACCAAGAUUGAACCAUGAAGAAAUCCAAAACCUGAACAGAUCAAUAGCAAGUAAUAAGAUCAAAGCUGUAAUAAAAAGUCUCCCAGAAAAGCAAAGCCUAGGAUUCAAUGGCAUCACUGCUGAAUUUUAUCAGACACUAAAAAAGAGCUAAACCCUAUUCAAAUUAUUCCAAAAAACUUAUUCUACAAGGCAAGUAUUACACUAAUACCAAAACCAGACAAAGAUGCAUAAAAAAAGAAAACAAUAGGCCAAUAUCCCUUAUGAACAUCGAUGCAAAAAUCCUCAACAAAAUACUAGUAAACCAAAUUUAACAGUACAAUAAAAUGAUCAUUCAUCAUGACCAAGUUGGAUUUAUCCCUGGGAUGUAAGAAUGGCUCAACAUAUGCAAAUCAAUCAAUGUCAUACAUCAUAUCAAUGAAGGACAAAAACCAUAUGAUCAUUUCAAUUGAUGCUGAACAAGCACUUAAUAAAAUUCAACAUUUAUUCAUGAUAAAACCCUAAAAAAAUUGGAUCUAGAAGGAACAUACCUUAGCACAAUAAAAGCCAUAGCUAGUAUAAUACUGAAUGAGGAAAAACAAAAAGCUUUUCCUUUAAGAUCGAGAACAAGACAAGGAUGCCCACUUUCACCACUGUUAUUUAAUGUAGUACUGGAAGUCCUAGCUGGACCAACCAGACAAGAGCAAGAAAUAAAGGAAAUCCAAAUUGGAAAGGAAGAAGUCAAAUUAUCUUUGUUUGCAGAUGCUAUGAUCUUAUAUUUGGAAAAGCCUAGAGAUUCCACAAGAGAACUAUUAGAACUGAUAGACAAAUUCAGUAAAUUUGAAGGAUACAAAAUCAACAUACGAAAAUCAGUAGUAUUUCCAUAUGACAACAGUGAAUCUGAAAAAGAAAUCAGGAAAUUAUUCAUAUUUACAAUAGCCAAAAACAAAAUAAAAUACCUAAAAAUUAACCAAAGAAGUCAAAGAUGUCCACAAUGAAAAAUAUAAAACACUGAUGCAAAAUUUGAAGAGAACAUAAAAAAAUGAAAAGAUAUUCCAUGUUAAUGGAUUGGAACAAUCAAUAUUGUUAAAAUAUUCAUACUACCUAAAACAAUCUAUAGAUUAAAUGCAACCCCUAUGAAAAUACCAAUAACACUCUUCACAGAAAUAGAGAAAAACAAUCCUAAAAUGUAUAUGGAACCAUAAAAAACCCAGAAUAGCCAAAGCUAUCCUCAGCAAAAAGAACAAAACUGAAGGAAUCACAUUAUCUGACUUCAAAUUAUACUACAGAGCUAUAGCAACCAAAACAGCAUGGUACAGUCAUAAAAACAGACACAUAGGCCAAUGAAACAGUAUAGAGAACCCAGAAACAAAUCCAUACAUCUACAAUAGACUUAUUUUCAACAAAGGUGCCAAAUAUAUACAUUGGAGAAAGGAUAGUCUCUUCAAUAAAUGGUGCUGGGAAAACUGGAUAUCCUUAUGCGGAAGAAUAAAACUAGACUCCUAUUUCUCAUCACAUACAGGAAUCAAAUCAAAAUGGAGCAAAGAUUUAAAUCUAAGACCUUAAACUGUGAAACUACUCAAAGAAAACCCUGAGGAAACUACCCAGGACAUUGGUCUGGGUAAAGAUUUCUUGAGUAAUACUCCACAAGCACAGGCAGCCAAAGCAAGAAUCGACAAAUGGGAUCACAUCAAGUUGAAAAGCAUCUGCACAGCAAAGGUAACCAUCCACAAAAUGAAGAGUCAACCCAAAGAAUGGAAGAAAAUAUUCACAAACUACCCAUCUGACAAGGGAUUAAUAACCAGAAUAUAUAAGGAGCUCAAAUGACUUUAUAGGAAAAAACCUAAUAAUCAGAUUGAAAAAUGAGCAAAUAUCUGAAUAAACAUAUCUCACAAGAAGAUAUACAAAUGGCAACAGGUAUAUGAAAAGGUGCUCAACAUCAUAGAUCAUCAGAAAAAUGCAAAUCAAACUACAAUGAGAUAUCACCUUACUCCAGGUAAAAUGGGUUAUAUCCAAAAGACAGGCAACAACAAAUGCCAAAAAGGAUGUGGAGAAAAGGGAACCCUUGCACUCUGUGGAAUGGAAAUUAGUACAGUCACGAUGGAGAACAGUUUGGAGGUUCCUUACAAAACUAAAAAUAGAGCUACCAUAUGAUCCAGCAAUCCCACUGGUAAGUAUAUACCCAAAAGAAGGGAAAUCAAUAUAUUGAAGAAGUAUCUGUUCUCCAGUGUUUAUUGCAGCAUGAUUCACAAUAGCCAAGAUCUGGAAGCAACCUAAGUGUCCAUCAACGGAUGAAUGGAUAAAGAAAAUGUGGUACACAUUCCAUAAAAAAGAAUAAGAUCCUGUCAUUUGCAACAACAAGUAUGGAGCUGGAGGACAUUAUGUUAAGUGAAGUAAGUCAGGCACAGAAAGACAAACUUGGCGUGUUCUCACUUAUUUGUGGGAGCUAAAAAUUCAAACAAACUCAUGGAGGUAGAGAGUAGAACAAUGGUUACUAGAGGCUGGGAAGUGUAGCAGGUUAGUGAGGAGUAAGGAGGGAAUGGUUAAUGGGUACAAAAAUAUAGUUAGAAUGAAUAAGAUCUAGUAUUUGAUAGCACAACAGGGUGACUAUAGUCAACAAUAAUUUAGUGUACAUUUGAAAAUAGCUCAAAGAGUAUAAUUGGAUUGUUUGUAAUACAAAGAAAGGAUAAAUGCUUGAGGCAAUGGA